rnacentral:rRNA from 1 species
AGUGAACGCUGGCGGUAGGCCUAACACAUGCAAGUCGAACGGCAGCACAGUAAGAGCUUGCUCUUACGGGUGGCGAGUGGCGGACGGGUGAGGAAUACAUCGGAAUCUACUUUUUCGUGGGGGAUAACGUAGGGAAACUUACGCUAAUACCGCAUACGACCUACGGGUGAAAGCAGGGGAUCUUCGGACCUUGCGCGAUUGAAUGAGCCGAUGUCGGAUUAGCUAGUUGGCGGGGUAAAGGCCCACCAAGGCGACGAUCCGUAGCUGGUCUGAGAGGAUGAUCAGCCACACUGGAACUGAGACACGGCCCAGACUCCUACGGGAGGAAGCAGUGGGGAAUAUUGGACAAUGGGGGAAAGCCUGAUCCAGCCAUACCGCGUGGGUGAAGAAGGCGUUCGGGUGGUAAAGCCCUUUUGUUGGGAAAGAAAAGCAGCAGGUUAAUACCCCGCUGUUCUGACGGUACCCAAAGAAUAAGCACCGGCUAACUUCGUG